CAUGGACAAGUUCCCCCACUCGCCGCGGCCGCGCUCCUGGUUCCCCAUCAUCGCAAUGAUCGUGCUCAUGGCGCUCGUCAUCUUCCCCACCGUCUUCUUCCUGCUCAGCCUCAUCACGAAACAGAAAAGGGACAAGUCCACUGUGGCCCCACAGGAGCACAAGGGCAACAACAAGCUUGGGUUGUGGUUCUGACAGGCACCUUCUGCUCACGUGCGGCAUGACAGCGACCAGGAUGGCCUUCAUUUUUCUUCACCCCUCCACUGCUUCGCCCGCGACAAGCCACGCCACGAAUAAACAUUUCU